GGAUUUAUGUUGAUUCUCUCUCAAACACUCCUUUGAAAGAUGAACAAAAUGAGUGAAAACUUACUUUUUUCUCACAGGAACAGGAUUCC
rfam:Neotoma lepida isolate 417 scaffold_20689, whole genome shotgun sequence.